GGUUCCAUAUCAUUUCAGCAACGAGUAAUUUUCAUAUAUCUUUAUUUGGAUGAAACCUUGCAUACAAGUCUUUGGGGGAGAAAAACGCCGUUUUGCAUACUUGGUUCGCCAUUUUGAAUCUAGCCUUACUUAUGAGAAGGGCCUAUGAAAAAUGCACAUGAUAUCUUCAAAAAAUUGUAUCUCGAAAACGGUUUGUCUGAUCGGUUUGGUGUCUUCGGCGAAGUUUUAGACAAUUAUUGGUGCUAUAUGGAGAAAAUAUGCACGGUAAAAAAAUAUGUUUGGUUUUUGUGAUUUGAACUAAAAUAUAGAUUUUCCCUCAAAAGUGACAUGUCAAUAUUUUUUUUAUUAUCCUUAUGUUAUAGCUGACUGAAAAUGCUACCUAGUGCACAGUGGGUUGUUCUGGAGAAAAAUAGGUUACAAUGAAAAAAAAAUGUUUUAAAAAAUUACGGUUUUCAAAAAAAAGCUAUUAAGUAAAGUCAAAAAAGUUUGUCGCCCUAAUUUUAUGAAAGUACAUCAAAUUAGCAAGAAAAAAGUACUUCGGUAACAUUUUUCUAAGAUGCACCGUUUAGAAGAUAUUACUAAUUUAAUAUUGAUUUUUUUGAUAACUUAAUAAGUUUUAGCCCUUUUCGGAUGUACUCCGUGUUUCUCCAGUUUCAAAAGUAUUUUUUUCGGAAAGAUUGGAAAAUUUUGAGUUAAAAUGACACUGACAGCUUAAAGAUUUGAGUGAAAUUCUCUGCCUUAAAAGUAUUUUGAAACAAGUUACAAAAUCCCACUAUCAAGAACAAUGAUUUCUUCCAGUGGUUUUUGGUGCCUUCUGCUUAAAACGUGCUAAUAAGUAUUAGAUACAGGUAAUUAGAUACCAGUUAGCUGUACUACGUACAGUUGGUGAUUGUAAACAUGGUCUUUGUUGGAACUAGUCCACCAUGGCCACGCUGGCCCAGGCUUGUAAACAUUCGACACUUUUCACUGCCUUCGUUUCGUUGUCGCGGUCGGGUGUCAGCUUGCUUUAUUUCAUUCGAACGCGACUGCUACCUCUUACACACAACACAAGCGGCAGAACAAAGAUCAAUAAACAAAAAAGUGGAUCAAAUCAACGUAGUCUGACACGAUGCCAUUAGUAUAAUUCCAGCUUUUCGCAAGAUUUCAGCCAAUUUUGAUUAAAAUUGGUAUAAUAUUAGUAUAAUAUUAGUCACCUUCCAUCAAACUAGACGGCUGCCGACUGAUACCUCAGUCAACAACCGCCGCACUCUUUAUUCAUUCCAGGUAUAUACAAUUUACAAUCUUCUUCAAUAACAAUAUACCUACGCCAGCAAAUCUACCUCGCUCCAACUCUCCAAACUCGUACCUGACGAUACCUGAGCGUUCAACUCUACCUAUCUUCCAGCAGUCUUUACCCAGCAUUCUAUGAUUUAUACCCGUGAGCUGUAUAAUAAUGUCUGACUCGGUUCUGAAUUCAUCCAGUAUCUACUAGGGAAAACCAAACAGUAAAUCCAGAAAGGUUGCUAGAAGCAUAGUGAUUUCAUAGUAAUUUCAGCUAAUAAUCCAGUGUUUUUGAACUAGAUCCAGUGUUGUUUGAUAACAUAAUAAUUGUAAAGGAAAGUGUAACACGUUUUGGUGCAAAGAUUACAAAAUGAGUAAAAUCAGAUGUAUUCGUCCAUUCAAAGACAUUCAGUGUUCGAAAGAGCUGCGAUAUCUCACGGAUGGUAUCAUCCAAAAACUAAAGUCAAUUGGAUUUUCCAAGGUAUCCACACUGAACACCAAGGAUUUUCGUAUUUGUUCGUCUUGCCGUCUACAUAUUGAUUCAAGAGCUCACCUCACCCAAAACGAAGAACAAAGCGUAGCCGGUGGCUCAAGGAUGCCAACUGUUCAGACCAUACCUGUUGUACCUGAUUCGUAAAGCUAUGAAAGUUUGGUCACGAUACCAUCAGCGUCAACGCUAAGCACAAUUCAAUCAAAUGAAGACUUCACGAUGCCUGUAGACGUCGAAAUAUUCAACCGAGGAAUAGCAGCUAUUCGUGUUUCGCCUAUAGAUUUAGGUAAGGUUAAAAAUGUUCACUAUCCUGAAAAAAGUGCGCUGAAAUCGUCGAAGGUGUACGAAGAAAUCUUUUUAAAUUAGACGCUAAAACAGAAAAAGCAAACGAGUUUAAUGAAGUCAUAGAAAAUAUGAAAAUUAAAUUUUUAAAUUCAGCCACAAGGCAAGAAAAACUAUCAAUUUUAUCAUUGUUACCAAAAUCAUGGUCAGUACAAAAAAUUGUAGACGAAUUUAAAACUAGUAGAAAUAUGGCAUCAGAUGCAAGAAAGGAAAAAAAUAAUGUAUUAGAUUCAUCUCAAGGUUCAAGCUCUGGAAAAGCUUUGAGUAAUGAAACAAAAGAACUGGUUUUGAAUUUUUUUGAGGACGAUGAUAUAAGCCGUGCAAUGCCAGGCCAAAGAGAUUUUGUUAGCGUAAAGACAGGAAAUAAGAGAUUAGCUGUUCAGAAAAGAUUGUUAAUGAUGACAUUAAGAGAAGCUUUUAAUCGCUUUAAUGAAAUGUA